CGGACGGGUGAGUAACACGUGGAUAACCUACCUAUAAGACUGGGAUAACUUCGGGAAACCGGAGCUAAUACCGGAUAAUAUAUUGAACCGCAUGGUUCAAUAGUGAAAGACGGUUUUGUUGUCACUUAUAGAUGGAUCCGCGCCGCAUUAGCUAGUUGGUAAGGUAACAGCUUACCAAGGCAACGAUGCGUAGCCGACCUGAGAGGGUGAUCGGCCACACUGGAACUGAGACACGGUCCAG
rnacentral:rRNA from 1 species